CACCCUAGUGCGGGGCUCUAAAAGCGCCUAGCUGAGGGUGCCUUGGGAUGAGCAAAGCCAUGGGGCACACAGAAAAAGGUGCAUUCUCAGGAUACCCUCCAGAGUUUGGCAUUAAGACACUGAUGAAUAUGAGAGAUGGUAGCAGAGAGGGCACAAGGCCUCCUACCCUGAGAGAAGGCACUGGCACUUCAGGAGCUGGGGCCAAGUGCUGCCCACAGGGGGAC
rnacentral:lncRNA from 1 species